AAGUCGUAACAAGGUAACCGUAGGUGAACCUGCGGUUGGAUCAUUAAAAAAAUGUUUAAAAAAACAGCCUCGCGCCGAAAUCGUCUUUUGCCCCAAAGCGAACGAUGACGAAGCGCACGUUGGCCCACAUUUUUGUGCACCGUUCCGUCUUUGGUGGUGGGGUGAGCAGCUUCCUUUGGGCCGCCCUCGCCUGUCAGCUCGGACCUGCAACGGGUCCGGAGUCGUGGACAAGCCACCGCCCUUUUCUUCAAAACCUUUGCUUUGCUUUUUUUUUCCUGUCUGACACUUUUUAUUUUGUAUGAAUGUACAAACAACUUUUGGCAACGGAUCUCUUGGGUCUC
rnacentral:misc_RNA from 1 species